AAAAUUCUAAGCUAUUUGCCUCAAAUUAAAGCUAGUAAUGUAACAUUCUAUGUCAACUACACUAAAAAAAGAAAAAAAAAUGAAAGAGGUAAACGCUAGAAUAAAGUAUAGAUAAUUUGGCUCAAUAAUGUCACCUAAACAAAUCCUUAGAAAUAUUCUACACUGAUUCAAAGGAAUGUGGUAAGUGCUCAGAGAGUAUUUUUCAAUGUAUAACAAAAACUUAAAGGCUAAUAAUUUGAGCUUGUGCUAAAUAAUUUACACAAAAUCGUCUGUUUUAAUUCUCUGAGCAAUGUCAUGACACAGAAGCUGUUGUAAUUCUAUCUGACAAUGAGGUGUUAAGUGGCUAGACCAAGGUCACACAACUAACUUGUUUAAAGAUUAGAACUUAAAUGCCUAUCUUCAUCAUUGAUCUUCCCUCCAAAAUUUUCAAGAGGAUGAAAUACAGAAUGAUUGUGAAGGUUCUUUGUGAAUGCAGAACAACUUCUGGUAGAAAAUUCUGGUAAGAUAGUGUCAUAGUCUGUGGUAUGGAGGAAGUAUCACCUCAGCACUUCAUGACUCUUAAUGUCAUCGUCUUUGCCAUAAGAACUUACAACUCGUUCCACUGAAUCAAAGUCUGCUUAACCACACCUCUAUCUGAGCUUGCCUUCAUGACUUGUUUGUCCAAUGAGACAAUUAACAAUAUGACAUGAACAAAGGCUUGAAAAUCUCUUGUUUAUCAGGACUUUCUUCUUACUGCUCUUGGGAAUCCUGCAACCAUCACCACGUGAAUAAAUCUGGGCGAGGCUGUGGGAUAAUUAGAGACAUGUGGCCUGUCACCCCACUAACACUGAACCCACAACCAGACUUGUGAGGAAUGCCAUCCUGACCACCCAUCCCCAGCUGAGCUGCUAAGUGGGCCUAGGAUGGAACUGCUCAGCCCAACUCACAGCAUUGUCAGGAAUAAUAAAUUUUGUGUGUGAGCCAAAAUGUUUUGGGGUGAUAGUUACACAGCAAGAAUUAACUGACACAAUUCCCACCUUUGGUUUAUUCUUUUGGUUUGUACCAUUAGAUGCAUGUUCCACAUGGUGGUUGUGGUGGUAGUGGGGGCAGUUGUCUAGUGAAAAUAAGAUGAGAAAUUGAGAUCAAUGUGGCCCAUACUAUGUAAUAGCCUGAUUUGCUUGUAUUUAGAGUGAGAGAAAUGUGAAAUCAACUGUGGCUAAACACAUUAUACCCUUAAUUACAAAUAAUUACGUCGUAGAUGGGGCAGCUGGGUGGCUCAGUCUGUUAAGCAUCUGUCUUUGACUCAGGUCAUGAUCUCACAGUUCAUGAGUUUGAGCCCUACAUUGGACUCUCUGCCCACUUCAGAUCCUCUGUCCCCGUCUCUCUGCCCCUCGCCCUCCUCUCUCUCAAAAAUAAAUAAACAUUUUUUAAAAAAUCACAUUGUGGAUGAAAUGUUUUUGGUGAUUGUAUUUUACUAAAAAGGAUGUUAUAAAGGAUCAUUUUUUUCUAUUAUCCAAACACACUAGCUGGAUUAUUUUGGAAGACAUCUUGGAAAGAACAUUAAUUUUCAUGCUAAACUUGUUCGGUAAUGUUAGCCUCUUUGGAAAAUGGAUGCUAAGGAGCACUUCUACAAUGUUCCCUUAGGAUCAUUUCGUCUAAUCCUCUUCUACCCCUAAGACAUCUUCUAUAAACGCAAGUAUUGGUUGUUACUUAAAACUGUAGAUAGAAUCUAUUUCCUCUAUAGCAAACAUUGCCAAGAUGAUUUUGGUAAGCUCACAAUUCAAACAUACGGCUAACUGUCAUCAGUCAUAAAUAAACUGGAUAUUUUUCAUCAUAAAGCAAACAGAAGCCCAUGUAAAAUAUAUACUACUUAAUGAGUUAUAGAGUUCAUAUUUGUCAUCAUAUGGGGAGGCUCCUUCAAAAUCAAUGCCAGGGUUCUUUCUUCUUAGACAACCCAGUCCAGUCAUUUGUCUUUGGCCCAAUAGCUUAUGCCAGGCACAUGGAAAUAACAGAGUGUUCAGAUUCCAAAGAAUUCUGUUUGAUUUUUAGUAUUACAAUUAACAAGCCAUGUUUUGUGGGAUAAUGAGACUACUUAAUAUCUUUGCAAAUAAAUGUUCUUAUCUCUAAAAUAGCUUGUAUUUAUUGAGUAUUUACUAUGUGCGAGGCACUGAGCAGUAUGCUUUAUAUGAGAUAUCUCAUUAAUUCUCACAGAAACCCUAUGAGGUAGACUUUUCAUUAUUUUCAUUUUUACCCACAAGGAAAUUAAGGUUUGGAGAGUUUAAGUAUCUUGUCUAAAGUGAUAAAGACUGUGAUUUGUAGAGCCAGGGUUCUAGAAAGUUCUGACUCCAGAGCUCAAAAUUGUUAUUACUCGGCCAUAAUCAUUCUCUCCCCAUGCUACCUCCAUCUAAAUUCUCUUGGGAAUUUUCCUCCUUUUCACUAUGAAAGCAUUAUAAUAAGGAUAAAAUGAGAAUGCAUAUGUAAGAGUUUAAGUACUUGAAAGCACUAUACAUAUUAAUAUUCAUUCAACAAGUAAUUAUAAGCAGCUACCAUGCAAAUAACAAUUGCCAAACUGGAUUUCAACCAACCUGGCAUAUGGAUACAAACAGUUACUCCAAGGAAUGUGCACUAAAAGUCAGAAUUGUCCUCCAUGGCACCAAUGUUCAAAAUUUUGCAGUGUACCCAAAUAUUUUUGUUGCCUUUAAUAACUCUGUUGAUUGUCUGUGAACAUAUAUAAAUAUUUUUGAAUUAGUAUGUGUAUCUUCAUUCCUUACCUCUGGGGUAACGAGUUCCAUAUGUUUAUUCUCAACUCAUUUGUCUUUUUGUUUGUUGCUUAAAGUCUCUCAAAUUUCAAAGGAUGUUUCUAGUAUUCUGAGAUCUCGUGAAUGAGUUAGAGCCAACUUACUCAAAUCCUUCAUGAUUGUAUAGAUUUCAAUCAUAUCUUACUCGUUCUCUGUUUUCCCAUCUCCCCAAUCUGAAGAGUCAGAAUAUUUUUGAAACUCUUUUUAGAAACAUUAGGUGUUGUCUCUGUGAUGCCAAACAUCUGGCUGAAAAUGGAAUAAAAAAGGGAAGCAUCAGGAUGCAUUCACAUAUCCAGCUGUUUGGCAUUAGAUGAGGCUACUGCAACUUGGAGGGUUUACAUAACUUUUCCAACAUCACAGAGCUGUAGUUGGAACAGAGAAGAGUGGUGGAAAAAAUGACUGAUCUCAGAACACACAGAUGUAUGGGCGUGAUGACCGCAAAAGAACUUGAAUCUUAACAGAGUCUAUCCAUCACUCAAAUUUGAGAAACACUAAAAUAAUGGAAAAGAAUACAGGCUUUGGAAUUAGACGGAAUUAGGUUCAAGACUCAAUUCUUCUACUCCCUGGCUGUGUCACCUUGAAGAGAGAGAGAUUGAGCACAAGCAGGAGUGGAGCAGAGAGAGAGAGGGAGUCACAGAGUCCGAAGCAGCUCCAGGCUCUGAGCUGUCAGCACAGAGCCCCACACGGGGCUUGAACUCACCAACCAUGAGAUCAUGACUUGAGCCGAGGUCAGACGCUUAACCAACUGAGCCACCCAGGCAACCCCCUAACCUGAGUUUUCAAAGGGUGUAUCCCACAAAGUGUGUCUGUUCAGUUAUGCCCCACUGGAUAUGUCUCUGAGGAAGAGGAAAUUGGAGGAGUGAGGGGCCUGGCACAGUAUAAACACUCACACCAUGUUCUACACGCGAUGGAGUGGGAAACAAGCUGGCACCAAGAAUAACGGACUCUCGUAUGGUGGGCAUGGAAACUGAUAUCCUUCUACGAAGUCUCCGAAGCUCAGAUCGCUUAUUCCUAGGGACUCCAUUCAUUUCCAUCUCCAAAGCUCCCACUCGCCACAUGCCCCAAGGACUCUGUGAAAUGAUCCUCUGAAUGAUCUCCUGAGAGAUGGAAGAGAUGAUGAUGUAAAAGGCUGAACCAAAAAUAACAGCAGGUCUUAUAUAUACCAUUCCUCUGCUGCACUGGUAAAUUACAGCUGUGGUCUCCACGUGGUAAUUAAAAGGUAAGGAGUCCAGAAGACAGAAGGUGAAGGAGAGGUCCUGCCCUGGGAACAACAAUCUAAGCUUCUGACUAUUGGUUCAUAUGACACAACUCCCCCAAGUGGGUGGAUAAGACUUCUAGUAAGCCAUCUCCAUGGAGAAGCUUCACAGACCAUUUCCCCGGUAACUGUAGGUAUCCCCCUGACAUCUACUCAUCUGCCUGAGGAACUAACUAUACACCUGCUUGGACAUAAUGAGUCCUUCAUGAUGAGGAAGAGGGGUUGUGGGUAGAGUAAGAGAAGGCAGUGGCUCCGUCUUUGUUCAGUAUGGUGACAAAGGGUCCUGGAGAGGUCAUUGGUCCCUCUUCUGAACAGUCAGUUUCUCCACUUUUGUUCUCCAGACAAAUGGAGCUGUGAAGAGGAGAAAAUAAACAGUUUACAUGUCAAGCCUGUGUACCUUUACUCUGCCUUUUGCCCAGCGUCAAAAUUGCUAAGAGCAAAAGGUUUUCUUUUUUUCUUUUUCUUCUUUUCUUUUUUUUGGAAUGUUAUGCGAAAACAAUUUAGGUUUUUAUAUUUAAACUAAAAAGACAAUUUCAUUAUCAUUAACCAAGCAUUACAUUGAUCAAUGUCUGAAAAAAAGUUUUCUAGGAAGGACUAGUGUCUUCUGAAAUAUUAGUAAAUUCUUCAUUUAAAAAAUUCUGUGGUCUAGUCAGUUUGGAAAUCAUGUUAAACAAACUUAAGUGGAUUUGUUUUCUGUAGAAAUUCUCACAAACAUUAAUGCACUAUUAAUUUGCUGUCCUAGCCAAUUAAUUAUCCCAGCUAACAGUACUAUCAGACAGAGAAAGGGGAGAGACAGGAGAGGAAAACAAAAACAUAAUAAAUUGCUUUAGGGAGGCAAUCAACCACAUCUGCUGAAAUGUUAUCAGCAUGCAUUAUGGACCCCGUAUGGCCAGGAAAAAGUGAUAAAUAAUAGUGCAUGAAACAUCAGUUUAUCUUUUUUAUCUCAGUUAUAUAGUUUGGCAAGAGACAUACAAGACAAAACCCUGGUGUCAAAUCUUGUGGAUCACUGUCAUGUGAGUUUGUGCAAAUUAUUUAACUUCUCAAAGCCUUGAUUUUCUCAGCCAUAAAAGUGAGCUAAUACCUAGCCCUUGGGUUAUUGUAAAGAUUGCAUGAAAUUAUGAAUGCAGCACUGGGUACAGAAAUGAUCAAUUGUUUCCUUCUUUCUCUCCUGGACCUUCAUGUUUUCCUCAGCUUCAAUCAGCCAUUUGAGCAUAAAGUGCCUCAGACAAGAAUGAGGGCCACUCUCCUGCUAUGAUGACAAUGGUCUCCUGCAGAAAACAGUCAGUGUCCAAGAGUGAUUGUCCCUAUAAUAACUUCUGCCAUUCAUUCCAUUUAUCCAUUCACCAAGGCAGCCAACACAUUCCUAUGAGGUACCUACUAUGGAUCAGGCUGUAAGGAUAGAGAGGGGCGUGUUUCAUUCCCUGACUGAGCUUACUGUCAAUAAGUGAAAACUACCAUUUAAAUAAGCAAGAGCAGACAAGUAUGACAGCAGAUCUGAUGGGAAAUAUUCCGGCUGCUAAUUGUGCACCUGGGAAUCUGAGAGAGGCAGAAAUUUAGUACAGCCACUCUUCCUCUGAUACACAGUGAAGGAGCCCACAUAAAAAUCACAUCCCCAGUGAAACAGGAAGUGAAGACCAGAGUGAAGAAAAGAGUGGGAGGGACUGUGCCUUCAGGUCUCACUUGACCUCCAUAGCAACUCACAAAGGUGGUAAAGCAGAGUAAGGAAUUUUUCACAAGGGCAAAGCGCCAGUUCCCAGUGGAGCCAAGGCUAUUGUCCAGGGUUUCCGAGCCCUGGGCCAGACUCUUUACCAUUGUAUGGUAUCAAGGUGCCAAAAGUAGGAUAAGCCUAGAGGAAUUUCCUUCAAACCCCCAAUGAAGGAGAAGGACGACCCCAUUAGUUUCUUCAUAAAUAAUGCUUCCUUAGAAUUCUGGGCUUUUCCUUUUCACUUCUCAUGCCAUUCCCAAAAUUUCACUUUGUUCUUACCAGCAUCAUAACAUAUCUGAUUAUACUUCCACAAGGCCAAGGACUAUGUCAUUUUUCUCCAUAUAUUUUCAGUACCUAGCUUGU